AAAACAUCAAAAUGUAUUUCGUCUCUCGUCUUCCUCACCUUCGUCAAGUAAUGGCUUCUUCUUCACCUUCCUCAAUAAACUGAGAUUCACCUUCCUCAAUCAACGGAGCCCAGGGCGAUUUCUAUUAUUAAGAUUGAUUGGCUUAGUGGAUUGGUGGCUUUGAGUGUUUCAGACAGUUUGGCUUGGUGACUUUGAGAAUUGUGGUGGAGCUAUAGAUGGGACUCAUAUUUCUACACAUGUUCCAAUUGAUGAACAAAUACCAUAUCGAGGCCGAAAAGUGGAUACAACUCAGAAUGUUAUGUGUGUAUGUUCAUUUGACAUGAAGUUCACAUACGUUGUUCCUGGAUGAGAAAGAUCAACUAAUGAUGCACGAAUUCUUCUAGAAUGUGCCACAAACUCAGAUUAUGGAUUUCCAAUGCCGCCCCAAGGUAAGUAUUUAUCAAACUUAUUAUGUUGAUUGACAUUAUUUUAUAUUAAAUAUCUAUAAGUAAAAACUAACAUGAAUUAUCAUUGGAUCAAGAAAAUAUUAUCUUGUUGAUUCUGGCUAUACAAACAUGCAUGGUUUUCUUUCACCAUAUCGAGGGGAAAUGUAUCAUUUGGGCCAGUACACAGAUCUUAAUCCCAUAGGAAAAAAAGAGCUUUUCAAUUAUCGACACUCUUACUUGAGAAAUAUCAUUGAGCGGUGUUUCGGCGUGUUGAAGGCUCGCUUUCCAAUCCUAAAGCAAAUGCCUUCAUAUGAUCUAAGAAUACAAAAGUACAUUGUCAUUGCUUGCUGUGAGAUUCACAAUUUUAUAAGGACAAAUGUAGCAGCAGAUGUAUAUUUUGAUGGAGGUGAAGGAAAUUCUGAAGUACAUGCCACUACUUUACAAAGCACGGAUGAAACUUUGACUGAUAGUGUAGAGUUCAGUAUUUCUAGGACUCAUAUACGUGAAAUGACUCAUGUUCGUGAUGAAAUUGCUGAUCAUAUAUGGAAAGCUAGUUGACGAUAGUGAGAUUGAGUAAAUACAUUAGUUGAUUGUUAAGACUCGUUAAAUACUUUAAGUUUAGGCAAUUAUCAGUUCAUACA